rnacentral:misc_RNA from 1 species
GAUGAAGAACGCAGCGAAAUGCCAUAAGUAAUGCGAAUUGCAGAAUUCAGUGAGUCAUCGAAUCUUUGAACGCACAUUGCGCCCUGUGGUAUUCCGCAGGGCAUGCCUGUUCGAGCGUCAUUUCAACCCUCAAGCCUCGCUUGGUGUUGGGCCCUGCCCGCCGCGGCCGGCCCUAAAGAUAGUGGCGGCGCCGCCUGGCCCUCAGCGUAGUACAGCUCUCGCUCCAGGGUCCGGCGGUAGCCUGCCAGAACCCCCCAACUCUGUGGUUGACCUCGGAUCAGGUAGGGAUACCCGCUGAACUUAAGCAUAUCAAUAAGCGGAGGA